rnacentral:lncRNA from 1 species
GCCUGGACACUUACAGGCAGGCUUUGGCUGCAUGGUCACCAACCAGUUUGACCAGUUGUUUGAUGAUGAAGUGGACCUCUUUGAGGUGCUGAAGGCAGGGGAGAACAAAAAAAUAAAUGGCAGCGGGGGUGACACUGGGGGCCCUGGGGCCAAGAGCACAGCUCAGGCCCUCCAACAUGGCAGGCAAACAGUUGUGUAUAGAGUCCCAGAAAGACCACAAGAAACCACUGCACCCCAGCAUUGGCAUGGUUGACAAGAAAGAGGAGACACAGGUGCUCAUCGUGCUUAAGAAAGAAGGAAUAAGGUGAGUUGGUAGAAGACCUGAUCAACAACUUCAGGUUGAAGGAAAAAUAAUAGAAGACCAGAGAGACGAUCACCUCUAGAACAAAGAUUUGAAAAGCCACUUGAAGAAAAGGGUGGAGGCAAAUUUUCAGUUGAUAGACUGAUUAUUGACUGACCUAUUCGAGGCCGUGGUGGUCUUAGAAGAAGUUGAGGGGGCUGCAGACAUGGAAUGGGCUGAGGAGAUGGAUUCGAUUCCCAUGGCAAAUGUGAAUUUUAUAGGCAUAGUGGAAGUGAUAGAUCUGUCCUGAAGCACAAGGACAAACAUGGAGGUAAUAGACCUCACUACUGGGGAACUGUUAAAGAUGAAUUAACAGAUUUGGAAUGAUCAAAUGUGACUGAGGCAACAUCUGUAGGUGAAGAACAUCCAGUGGCAGACACUGAAAAUAAGGAGAGUGAAGUUGAAGAGGUAAAGAAAGAGGGUCCUAAAGAGAUGAUUUUGGAUGAGUUGAAGGCUAUUGAAAAUAUGGAGUGGGCAAAGUGGAAUUUAAUAUCUGAAAACCAAAUGAAGCUGCUGAAGGGCAGUGGAAGAUGAAAUAUGUUUUUCAUAAAUCAGAGUGAAGAGGCUCAUGCUGCAGACUCUGUUAUGGACCAUCUUUUCCAGAAGCCAGCAAAUGAUGUAAUGUCUCAGUUGAAGAUUAAUUUUGGAGAACUUGGCUGCCCAGAACAUGAUGGCGAGGGAGGACAAGGUAGACGUGGGUGUGGCAGACGUCUGAACUGUGGCAGCAGGACUGACAAGUAAAGUGCUUCUGCUCCUCAUGCGGAUGACCCAGAGGCAUUCCCAGCUCUGGCUUAG